GAUGAAGAACGUAGCGGAAUGCGAUACGUAAUGUGAAUUGCAGAAUUCAGUGAAUCAUCGGGUCUUUGAACGCACAUUGCGCCCCCUGGUAUUCCGGGGGGCAUGCCUGUCCGAGCGUCAUUGCUGCCCUCAAGCACGGCUUGUGUGUUGGGCCUCCGUCCUCCUCCCGGGGGACGGGCCCGAAAGGCAGCGGCGGCACCGCGUCCGGUCCUCGAGCGUAUGGGGCUUCGUCACCCGCUCUUGUAGGCCCGGCCGGCGCUUGCCGACACAUCAAUCUUUUUUCCAGGUUGACCUCGGAUCAGGUAGGGAUACCCGCUGAACUUAAGCAUAUCAAUAAGCGGAGGA
rnacentral:misc_RNA from 1 species